UACGAAGGGGGCUAGCGUUGUUCGGAAUUACUGGGCGUAAAGCGCGCGCAGGCGGUCUUCCAAGUCAGUGGUGAAAGCCCGGAGCUCAACUCCGGAAUUGCCAUUGAAACUGUGAGACUUGAGUACGAGAGAGGUGAGUGGAAUUCCCAGUGUAGAGGUGAAAUUCGUAGAUAUUGGGAAGAACACCGGUGGCGAAGGCGGCUCACUGGCUCGUAACUGACGCUCAGGCGCGACAGCGUGGGGAUCGAAACAGG
rnacentral:rRNA from 1 species